UGGGGAAUAUUGCACAAUGGGCGCAAGCCUGAUGCAGCAACGCCGCGUGCGGGAUGACGGCCUUCGGGUUGUAAACCGCUUUCACCCAUGACGAAGCGAAAGUGACGGUAGUGGGAGAAGAAGCACCGGCCAACUACGUGCCAGCAGCCGCGGUGAUACGUAGGGUGCGAGCGUUGUCCGGAAUUAUUGGGCGUAAAGAGCUUGUAGGCGGUUGAUUGCGUCGAAAGUGAAAUUCCAGGGCUUAACUCUGGGCUUGCUUUCGAUACGGGUCGACUUGAGGAAGGUAGGGGAGAAUGGAAUUCCCGGUGGAGCGGUGGAAUGCGCAGAUAUCGGGAGGAACACCAGUGGCGAAGGCGGUUCUCUGGACCUUUCCUGACGCUGAGGUUCGAAAGCGUGGGUAGCAAACAGGAUUAGAUACCCUGGUAGUCCACGCCGUAAACGGUGGGUACUAGGUGUGGGUCUCAUUCCACGAGAUCCGUGCCGUAGCUAACGCAUUAAGUACCCCGCCUGGGGAGUACGGCCGCAAGGCUA
rnacentral:rRNA from 1 species